rnacentral:rRNA from 1 species
CCUACGGGUGGCAGCAGUGAGGAAUAUUGGUCAAUGGGAGAGAUCCUGAACCAGCCAAGCCGCGUGAGGGAAGACGGCCCUAUGGGUUGUAAACCUCUUUUGUCGGAGAACAAAACCCGGGACGUGUCCCGGACUGCGUGUAUCCGAAGAAAAAGCAUCGGCUAACUCCGUGCCAGCAGCCGCGGUAAUACGGAGGAUGCGAGCGUUAUCCGGAUUUAUUGGGUUUAAAGGGUGCGUAGGCGGUCCGUUAAGUCAGCGGGAAAAUUGCGGGGCUCAAACCCGUCGAGCGGUUGAAACUGGCAGACUUGAGUGGGCGAGAAGUACGCGGAAUGCGCGGUGUAGCGGUGAAAUGCAUAGAUAUCGCGCAGAACUCCGAUUGCGAAGGCAGCGUACCGGCGCCAGACUGACGCUGAGGCACGAAAGCGUGGGGAUCGAACAGGAUUAGAUACCCCGGUAGUC